rnacentral:siRNA from 1 species
UCAGUCAAAGAAUCAGGAAGCUGC